rnacentral:rRNA from 1 species
AGCGAACGCUGGCGGCAGGCUUAACACAUGCAAGUCGAGCGGGCCCUUCGGGGUCAGCGGCAGACGGGUGAGUAACGCGUGGGAACGUGCCCUUCGGUUCGGAAUAACUCAGGGAAACUUGAGCUAAUACCGGAUACGCCCUUAUGGGGAAUGGUUUACUGCCGAAGGAUCGGCCCGCGUCUGAUUAGCUAGUUGGUGAGGUUAUGGCUCACCAAGGCGACGAUCAGUAGCUGGUCUGGGAGGAUGAUCAGCCACACUGGGACUGAGACACGGCCCAGACUCCUACGGGAGGCAGCAGUGGGGAAUAUUGGACAAUGGGGGCAACCCUGAUCCAGCCAUGCCGCGUGAGUGAUGACGGCCUUAGGGUUGUAAAGCUCUUUUCUCCGGGACGAUAAUGACGGUACCGGAGGAAUAAGCCCCGGCUAACUUCGUG